CACCUACGGGUGGCAGCAGUGGGGAAUUUUGGACAAUGGGCGCAAGCCUGAUCCAGCAAUGCCGCGUGCAGGAUGAAGGCCUUCGGGUUGUAAACUGCUUUUGUACGGAACGAAACGGCUUCUUCUAAUACAGGAGGCUAAUGACGGUACCGUAAGAAUAAGCACCGGCUAACUACGUGCCAGCAGCCGCGGUAAUACGUAGGGUGCGAGCGUUAAUCGGAAUUACUGGGCGUAAAGCGUGCGCAGGCGGUUAUGUAAGACAGAUGUGAAAUCCCCGGGCUCAACCUGGGACCUGCAUUUGUGACUGCAUAGCUGGAGUACGGUAGAGGGGGAUGGAAUUCCGCGUGUAGCAGUGAAAUGCGUAGAUAUGCGGAGGAACACCGAUGGCGAAGGCAAUCCCCUGGACCUGUACUGACGCUCAUGCACGAAAGCGUGGGGAGCAAACAGGAUUAGAUACCCUGGUAGUCCACGCCCUAAACGAUGUCAACUGGUUGUUGGGUCUUCACUGACUCAGUAACGAAGCUAACGCGUGAAGU
rnacentral:rRNA from 1 species